AAAGUGGUGCUCCAAGUGCCAAAGAAGUGUGGGAUUGGGAUGAAGAACUGAGCAGUGAUGGUACAAUUGGCUGUUUUCUCUUGACUGUAAUGGUAAGAGCUGCAGGAGUGCAAGGUGUGUGUUCCAGUCCCCAGCAUUUGGUUUGCACAUGUCCUGGUCAGACACAGGUCCAACUUCCUCAGUCCUUAACACAGUAGAAGGAGAAUGAAGGACUGGCACUGUUAAGGUGAUUGGUGUGACGGGGUUAAACUGGUAAAACAUUGAGUAAUUCCUCAGUUUGUCUAUUUACCAAACUAACCCAAACCUGUGCUAGGAAGAGACUGAGUGGAAAAGUUGAGGCAGAAAUGGAAUUGAAAACUGGGGAUAUUGACAUUGUAAUUGCUGAAACUCAGUGUGUCCAAGCAGCAGCUCUUGUUGUGCAGGGAAUAACUCCUGUCAGCAGCAAGGUCCUGACUGAAGUGGCAGCUGCAGUUGUUCCUGUGGUGUGGGCCAGUGGAACUCCAGGACAGUGGAAGAGGGCAGAACCUGAGAAAAUCUGGACAGCGGGAAGGAAGAAAAGAAGCCAUGUGACUCCUCCCUGAGCCCCAGACAGCCCAUGAACUGCCUUCCUGGGAAUGGUGGGACGGGCUGGACUCUGGAUUGCUCCCUCUGGAUGUGUGGCUCUCCCCUGCAGGAACUCCAGGAACUCCUGGUGCCGCCUGGGCCGAUG